UCUGAACUCUUAAAAAUACUCGCAUCUUUGAUUUUUUUCAGACCUGAAACAUGGCCAAGCCGUACCAGCCAGACCUCAGACCACGGUGCCGAGGAGCUCUUACGGAGUCCACCAGGACGAACAGAAAUUCAUACAGCAAGGCAGAGUGUGGAAAGCAGUAGAGAUCUACAAAAUGGCGGACGGAGGACAGAUCUGAGGACGAAGUCAUGAAGCCGUUAUGUAUGAUCACUGUGUUGAUUCCCGACUGUAUAAUGACUCCACAGAAUGGGAGUCACAUUUGUGUCAAUCAGACUCUUCAGGAACGUUCUGAUGUCCGUGAUGAGGACAGAGAUGCAGUUGCAUCAGUGAUGCAGUUGCAUCACACACAGUUCUGUCUGAUGGAGGAAGGCAGAGAGUACUGGCAGCAGAGGAGGUGGCAUUCUGGGAGUAUGGCAGCUAUGAGGUGGUGUCAGGAUGGACCCCAAGUUCCUCCAACCAGGAGCUCAGUGACAUCAGGACUACAUUACAGGAAGAUACAUCACUCCCCCCUCCAAGGAUUCCACAAUCGACAGAUUUCAACUCCCAUGAGUGAAAAUGUAGACUGUCGAUUGCUGUCGAUAUCUGCUGCUGAGUAGCUGCGUUCGCGUCAGAAUACAGGGUCAAAAAUCCCACUUUUCGUCCAGUGGAUGGAGAUAUCUUUUGCUGAACAUUUCUGUUCAGUUUUUAUUGAGCAGAAAAUGACAACAGGUGAUAAAGGCAACAGCUGUUCGCAACCUAGCAACCGAAAUCAACAAAAUUCAAGAUAGUGACAAAAGAAAGAACUAUAUCCUGUUAAGCAUUGUUCAAAAUAAAAGACUUCCUAUCUCCAAAUAAAUAAUGCUUCACACUUAAA